rnacentral:rRNA from 1 species
UACGUAGGGGGCAAGCGUUGUCCGGAAUCAUUGGGCGUAAAGAGCGUGUAGGCGGCCUUAUAAGUCGGCUGUGAAAGUCAAGGGCUCAACCCUUGAAUGCCGGCCGAUACUGUGAGGCUAGAGUCCGGAAGAGGAGACUGGAAUUCAUGGUGUAGCAGUGAAAUGCGUAGAGAUCAUGAGGAAGACCAGUGGCGAAGGCGGGUCUCUGGACAGUUCCGUGACACUGAGACACGAAGGCCAGGGGAGCAAACGGG